GCCUCCUGGCGCAGUGGUCAAGCGCCAGGUGUGACCUUGUAUGGCAGGCGCAGGGCUCGCUGGUUCGAAUCUAGCAGGAGGCA